GUAUUCUUUCACACAAACNAAUGCAUGUAUAGAAUGUCUUUUUGCGAUCACACGCAAUCAAUACAACUUUCAACAACGGAUCUCUUGGCUCUCGCAUCGAUGAAGAACGCAGCAGAAAUGCGAUACGUAAUGUGAAUUGCAGAAUUCAGUGAAUCAUCGAAUCUUUGAACGCACCUUGCGCCCCUUGGUAUUCCGAGGGGCACACCCGUUUGAGUGUCGUGAAUGCCCUCAACCUUCUUGGUUUCUUGACACGGGAAGGCUUGGACUUUGGAGGUUUUUGUUGCCGGCCUCCUUUGAAGCCGGCUCCUCCUAAAUGAAUCAGUGGGGUCCGCUUUGCCGAUCCUUGACGUGAUAAGUAUGCUUCUACGUCUUGGGUUUCGCAUCGUCGCACCGGAACCUGCUUCCAACCGUCUUCUGAUGAAGACAAAUGUUACGAACCUUGACCUCAAAUCGGGUGAGACUACCCGCUGAACUUAAGCAUAUCAAUAAGCGGA
rnacentral:rRNA from 1 species